UCCUGAGACUGACUGAACGAACCAUCGUCCUGCCGCGGUCCGCUUUCCUUUUCCUAAACCCUAGCCGGAGCUGCCCUGACACCCUGGAAGCGAGAGGGAAUGCGAUCUCCAGCCAUGGCUAUCUUCAAGGGCUCGUGCUGCAUCACAUCAACUACCGCUUUCGCGUCAUUCGUAGUCGUCCAGAAGGACCAGAACGAUCUCCACUUCCCGGGCAAAUUAUGGUCUUCGACCGAGAUGAAGUGACGAACCUUGUUAUCGGCUAUCGCAUGAAGUUCUCGAAUAUGCUUCCUACAUUGGUAGGCUCUACAAAGCCUAGCGAACAGAAUGAGGACCGCGGCACCUUCGUCCUUGCAUGACCGCUCUGGGGAUACAACGGCAUAUCACGCUCCAGUUGGUGCCUAGUUGUCAGCGCCGCUUGCAGCUUGCCCUCUGGUUGUUCGCAUACCUGUGCCAGGGCAGAUGCCUGUAUUCCCUAGCCUGCUCAUAUGCGCAAGUUCAGUUUGCUGCCAUGCCUGGCACUCUACCACUGCCUUUCUUGGCCCCAACACCAUAGUUUGGCGGAUGCAUGUUGGGGACCGCUUCAGACGACGAGACAUGUUGAUUUUUGAAGAAGAUUUCAACUACAUGUUUUGUUCUGUCAUGUUGGUGUUGUUAGGAGUCCUACAUCCAAAGGUAGGGAGGUCAUAAAGGGAUUUAUAACCAAGUCACGCCAUAUACAUCUUGCACAUGGUGCAUGGAUGUGACCGUGCAUGAGUUUGUGUUAGCCAACACACACUUGGGCGGCCGGGGUGUGCACAUUACCGGCUUGGACGUUGGUUGUCGGAUAUUGGGCGGGUUGGCACAUUUUGUUCACUGUUGGUGACAAUAUUUUUUCAAAGAGGCUUGCUGUUGCUUCAAUCAGGUAAACUUCCUCUCUAACAUUGCUUCUAUUUUACUUGUAUUAGUUUCAUUUUACACUGUAUUGGUUUGUUGUUUGAUUUUAUUGGUUAAAGUUCUCUUGGAUCAAUUCAGUUAUAACAACUUUAGAGAGAAUAGGUCAUUUAAUUCUGUAAAAAGGUGAAGGCAAACCUUCUGAUCAUGACUUUGCCAACAAAUAAAUGUUUGGUCAACAGCUUUAGGUCUCUUUUUUACAUAUAGAAUUGGUCUUGAUUCCUCUUAUAAACUAGAGUUUAAAUGUAUUAAGACCCUUGCAGAGUUCAAACAGAGGGAUUAUUUAUGUGAUGAACAUAUUCUUUUACAUGGACACAUUACAACUGUUUACAAGGGAUCAAACAGAGUAAAACGAAUAUUGUCAUGACAGAAAGUUUCAACUCUAUAAUUUUUUUAUUUUUGCUUUGAUAUUUUUCAAAGAUAUUAUUUGUGCAAAAAAAAAACAUAGUUUAAAUAGUCACUAUUCUCUCUAAACUUGUUCUGAACAAUUUAAUAAAAAUCUAUUAAGGGACAAAUUUAACUGAGAGCCCAAAAUCAAAACAAGAACGGACCCUUGCAAUGUAAAUCAAGUGUAAUCAUUGAUAAAAUAGAAACAAAACUAGAGAGAAAGUUUAUCUGGUUGAAGUAUUGGCAAGUCUAUUCUCUUUAGAGAGUAUCUGGUUGAAGUUUAUAUGAAUUUCCUAUGAGAUCCAACAAUCAAUUUGCCUUACAUAGGUGCACGCCAAGAGGUAAAACAAAUAUACUGUUAAUCACCAAAGAGAGCUCCCAAUUUUUCAAGUCAUGGAUUGGAUUCAUUCAAGGGAGCUGUUCAACGAUAGGACUGAUCUAACUAUGAAUUCAUCCAAGACUGAUACAUUGGAAUUGAGAAAAACUGGAUACAAAAAGGGUCCUUUUCAAAGUGAUCUUUUUUUUUUAAAAAAAAAGGUAGAAAUAUUUUUCUAAAAACUCGUUCUUGUGUGUAUGGGCUUGGCUCCAUGUGUUUGUGUGUGCGUACAUGAUUGGCCAAGCCAACCCUCACCCAUGUAUAUCCAGGGCCCAUUCAAGGGAUUUUUUAUAAGUUUGUUUAUGCCUCAUCUAUUUUUUGGAUAUGGGACUUAAAUCAACCACAAACCAUGAUUCGAAUAAGCCAUUUAGUUGAAAUCUCCUCUUAAAACCCUAGGUGGUCCUUUAUCUAGGGAUGAGAUCCAACAUGCCUGUUUUAAUGCCACCAUUGGUGCGUAUUUCAGUCCUAUGUUUUCAAAUGCCAACAAGAUUGAGGAUUCUACCAUAGUUUGCCUGGCACACAGGUCCCUGUGUUUGUCCCACCGCAACCUGGAUACAACCUCCACCUUCUCUGAAGCAGCGGUAUCAUGGACAAAAAUCAGCAGUCCAUUAGCUAGCUUGAAAAGUAAUCAUCAUAAUUGUGUGGAAUAAUAUCUGCCAUUGCUGAUGUCUACCUUGUUUAUUUCCUGACUGUCUCUCCAACAGUAGUUAUUAUGAUUUGGAAUUCAGAAUAGAGAAAACAGGUAAAAAGAGUAUUGAAUAGGAAAACAUAUAGGGUUUAGACUUUAGAAGAUAAAGCUUACAAGGAGUUAACUAUGUUACCUGGAAAGUAGAAAAUUUGUUUGGUGAUUGUGAAUUCUUCUUUUAUAUUUUCUUGUCAUCUCACCGAUGGAAAGUUUCUUUUCACUCUUCCAAUUGAUAAUUACAUUGUUUUGUUCUUCCUGUUUUUCCUGAUAUAAGACCAAAUUGUUAUACCAAAAUAGAGCUAAUGUGGCAACGGACAUAAAAGAUCUUGUGCUAGUUUUUAGGGUUUGAAGGACGAGGCUUGUGUGGUAAAUUGACAGAGCUGCAUCUUAUUUUGCAUGCUAUAGUGGAGAUGGUGGUCACUUCAUUUUUUUUGCUUAUGCUAGAGGAGCUUCCGUACACUUAAGGCUGGUUAGAAUAUGAACUGAUUGGGGGAAAAUUAUGCAUAUAACAGUGCAGUUUUUGUUGUUUUUGAAUUGCUUUUCCUUUUUUUUUUCUGCCUGAUUCCUAUAAUUACUUAUUAAGUUUAUAUCUUUUCUUUGAAUCUGAUUUCGCUGAUUGGUUGAUUGCUUUUUAAAUUUGCCUCAGUCCAUGGUUGUGGGGUUCUUUGGAAUUGGAAAUUUUUACCUGCAUUCCAUUUUUGGUAAAUAAAGUUACCCACUUAUCAUUUGCAUAUUGGGUGCAUUAUGCACAUCAGACUUGAGGUAUGAACUAGGUCUAGAUAUCUGGCCACCUCAACCACGAUGAUGGGGGUACGUUGACUACAAAAUCUAAUAUGUCAACUGGAUUAGGGAACUAGCGGUGCUAGAUGGUUGUAGUUUCCAAACUGUACUAGAGAUUUGUACAGUUUCCAGCAAGCAACCAAAAGCGAAUUACAAUGCAUUUUAAUUUUGAAUUUGUUAAUGUUAUAUCAGUGGACAUUAACAAGUUCUAUGACAUUGCAACAUCUUUAUAGUUUUUCUAGUUUACUUCUUUUCAUGCUCCUUAUUUAUAUUUUCACUGCAGCAUAUUGAGAUGCUUCUUUACAAUUUCUUCACACUGGCUUUGGUUUUGAAUAUAAUAAAAUAUAUUCUCUAUCUUUUACUAAUUAAAAAUUAAUUUGGUUUAUCCAAUGAAUUGAGAAUAUUGAAAUUCUUCUUUCUUGCUCUCUAAUCCUUUUUUCCGUUCCAAUUAUUUUUUUUUUCAAUAUGUCCGAGAUAUUUCUUAUAGGAAAAGCUUUGAAUUACAUCAAAGUAUUGCACAUGUAUCUGAACUUCCAUGCGUUCUCUUAUCCAUGAAUCUUAAGCCAUAUCAUUAGUAUACCUAACCAGAAAACUCAGUGGUGGACCUAUUUCAAGUUCCAAGGCUUAUACACCUCUUGAUCUACAAAAUGAUCAGUAUUAUGCUCUACUGACAUGUCGCUUUUCUUCCACCUGGAGAACUAUGCAACAUUUGCUUGCAGAUGUAAUUUCAUGCGGUUUGCACGAGCAUAGGUAACUGAGCUUUAUCGAACUGAAUAUCAAUUUGUUCAUUAAUCUCCAGUUCAUUUACAGCUUGAAAUAAAAUUGAUUUGUGUGUG